rnacentral:rRNA from 1 species
GAACUCUGGUAUUGAUUGGUGCUUGCAUCAUGAUUUACAUUUGAGUGAGUGGCGAACUGGUGAGUAACACGUGGGAAACCUGCCCAGAAGCGGGGGAUAACACCUGGAAACAGAUGCUAAUACCGCAUAACAACUUGGACCGCAUGGUCCGAGCUUGAAAGAUGGCUUCGGCUAUCACUUUUGGAUGGUCCCGCGGCGUAUUAGCUAGAUGGUGGGGUAACGGCUCACCAUGGCAAUGAUACGUAGCCGACCUGAGAGGGUAAUCGGCCACAUUGGGACUGAGACACGGCCCAAACUCCUACGGGAGGCAGCAGUAGGGAAUCUUCCACAAUGGACGAAAGUCUGAUGGAGCAACGCCGCGUGAGUGAAGAAGGGUUUCGGCUCGUAAAACUCUGUUGUUAAAGAAGAACAUAUCUGAGAGUAACUGUUCAGGUAUUGACGGUAUUUAACCAGAAAGCCACGGCUAACUACGUGCCAGCAGCCGCGGUAAUACGUAGGUGGCAAGCGUUGUCCGGAUUUAUUGGGCGUAAAGCGAGCGCAGGCGGUUUUUUAAGUCUGAUGUGAAAGCCUUCGGCUCAACCGAAGAAGUGCAUCGGAAACUGGGAAACUUGAGUGCAGAAGAGGACAGUGGAACUCCAUGUGUAGCGGUGAAAUGCGUAGAUAUAUGGAAGAACACCAGUGGCGAAGGCGGCUGUCUGGUCUGUAACUGACGCUGAGGCUCGAAAGUAUGGGUAGCAAACAGGAUUAGAUACCCUGGUAGUCCAUACCGUAAACGAUGAAUGCUAAGUGUUGGAGGGUUUCCGCCCUUCAGUGCUGCAGCUAACGCAUUAAGCAUUCCGCCUGGGGAGUACGGCCGCAAGGCUGAAACUCAAAGGAAUUGACGGGGGCCCGCACAAGCGGUGGAGCAUGUGGUUUAAUUCGAAGCUACGCGAAGAACCUUACCAGGUCUUGACAUACUAUGCAAAUCUAAGAGAUUAGACGUUCCCUUCGGGGACAUGGAUACAGGUGGUGCAUGGUUGUCGUCAGCUCGUGUCGUGAGAUGUUGGGUUAAGUCCCGCAACGAGCGCAACCCUUAUUAUCAGUUGCCAGCAUUAAGUUGGGCACUCUGGUGAGACUGCCGGUGACAAACCGGAGGAAGGUGGGGAUGACGUCAAAUCAUCAUGCCCCUUAUGACCUGGGCUACACACGUGCUACAAUGGAUGGUACAACGAGUUGCGAACUCGCGAGAGUAAGCUAAUCUCUUAAAGCCAUUCUCAGUUCGGAUUGUAGGCUGCAACUCGCCUACAUGAAGUCGGAAUCGCUAGUAAUCGCGGAUCAGCAUGCCGCGGUGAAUACGUUCCCGGGCCUUGUACACACCGCCCGUCACACCAUGAGAGUUUGUAACACCCAAAGUCGGUGGGGUAACCUUUUAGGAACCAG